ensembl:lncRNA LINC01811 long intergenic non-protein coding RNA 1811
GGCUGUGGUUCAAUUCUUUCAAUCAAAGAUCUGCCUAAUCCUGUUUUCCCAUAGCUAAUGUUGACAGGGUUCACCACGCCAUCUUCAUCUCCGCCCCCACUUCUCAUCUUCAGCCCAAACCAAUCUUCAUCUCUAUCUUCAUCUUUACUUCCAUCCACACAGCAAUCUUCAACUCCAUCUACCAAUACCAGUCUUAAGCUCCUGUGCCCCACCAUCCUCAGUCAUAGCAGUGCUCGAUGUGAUAACCUAAUCAAAAAUUUCAAACCAAACUGCCCAGCAUUCAUGGUUGUAAAGGACAUGUAGAAUCAGUCAACUGAUAGAUACAAAGUAACACUGAAACUGAUUGAGCAAUAAUCAGAAAGUUGGCGCUGCAAUAGCUUCCUCAGUUGUACCUCUCUGUCCACCGCCCAGCUCUUUCCUGUUGCUUCCAGUUCCUCUCACUUGUACUUCUUUAUUAACUAUUUGUUAACAUAACUUUCUAUGGUUUUCUUUCACCUAAGACCCAAACCUCUUCUCCUGGCUUGCAUUUCCACGACUCCCUGCCCAAGCCUGAGGUUGCACAAGAAACAUAUCUCUAAUUAAUGUCCCCUGUUCCAGGAAUUUGACUCAUUGGGCCUGCAAAAGAUUUUCGUGACAAAUGAAAUAUUUUUCUAAACCAAGGACUUGGGGAUAACUUCAGGGUCAAAGACAUCUUAUCAUAUUUAAGAACAGCCACAGGAUGUCUAGGAGCCAGCAGAGGGGCCAGAUAUGCUGCAGUUUAUGCUGUAAAAGGAAGCCUGCCGCCGUGAGUGGUCCAGUGGGAGCUCUUGCUUUGUGUCCUCAGCCUUUCACCUUUCCAUCUGAUGACUUGCUCUGAAUCUUCACUUCCUGGGCAGAUGAGGAAACAUGAUGUUCAGAAAGGUAUAUGACUUGAUCAAGAACCCACAACCAGGCAAUGAGAGGAAUAUGAGGCAAAAUCCAAUCUACUUGAUUCCACAGAGCUCUGAGUAUAGAUGAGGCAAACUUCACAUGGAAAAGAAGCCAUAUUUUGAAAAAACUACACGGAAUCAAAGAGAACUAACUCAAAGAAGCAAAAUUUUGGAGAUAAAACAAGCACCAUUCAGAAUCUGGACAUAUAAUAUGUUUAUGGCAUUUAACCUAGUCAGACAGUAGAUAUUGCUCUAAGUCAUGGCCUACACCUGUGAGCCUACUUAUAUCAGCAUUUGCCAAAUGUACUUGUAGCUGUGGUACUGACCUCAGAGAACUUAGCCAAAGAGCAAAGACUGCCUAAUUCAAGAAGUACUGAGAAGAUGUUCCAGGAUUACUUCAUGCUGUCCAGGUCCUAGACAUGGAAUCGUUUGCUUCUUCAAAAGUCUGGAUCCCUUUAAGAUACGAAAUGUAUUUAGAAACCAAAGUAUGGAUGCUAGGUGUGCUCAUGGCCAUUGGAGUGUGUUUCUAGACCCAGGAAUAAGCAAACAAUGGCCUGUAAAC